GGGGCGCGCUCACCGGAUCGCCGGCGAGCUACGGCUACCACCCGUCAUCUCUUUUCAGCUAAUCUGCUUCGCGCUACUUUUUUGAGGGCUAAGACACGCGUAGGCGGUGCAGACAGUUCAAUUCGUGGGCGGCUUUUUCUCUCCCCUGCGCGGUUUUGCAGAACUGAGGAUUCACGUUUGCCACGCAGUCUCUAAAUCCUCCUCCCAGCCCUCGCCGGAUUUCUGCAUCGGAAUUGGAUUGGAUCACACACAAAAGAAGAGCCCAGGAACUCGUUCACCACCUUGCACCUUGCCUGUUAGUUCACGGCAUAAUGGUAACAGAGUCUUCAUUAAUGGAAGCAACGUUACUACCGUGAGCCCGGAUAGCUCAGUCGGUAGAGCAUCAGACUUUUAAUCUGAGGGUCCAGGGUUCAAGUCCCUGUUCGGGCGGUAUCUUUUUUUUCCUCAUUAAAAGAGUAAGAACCAA
rnacentral:lncRNA from 1 species